rnacentral:lncRNA from 1 species
GGAAGGGAGCCAGUCUCCGCCCUGGGCAGAGACGGGGCUGGCAGCUCAGGACCCAGCUCUCAGCCCCAGACAGAUCAGCUCACUCAGCAUGGAGCUAACGCUCCUUCUGCCACUGCUGGCCGCUCUCCAGAUUCUCCCUAGGCCAGUGAUCCCUGCAGGUGCCCCUGUGGCCCCAUCACUGUCCCUGAACCCCCAGAAGCAGGAGUUCCUCCCUGGAGACACUGUUGAAAUCAAGUGCUCUGCUCCUCCUUCGGUGGGUAGAGUUGAAGGAUUCCAGUACUACAGUGAUAGCGGAAAGGCCAUCUCAGUCCCAGCUUCAUCCAGGAGAAGCCACACUUACAGCAUAAACCUCGCAGGGCCUAAGGAUGAGGGGUCGUACCAGUGCGCCUACUGGAUAGGCCAAGCCGGUGCUUGGAACAGGUCCAGCAGGAGUGAUGCUGUCCUCAUCAGAGUAAAAGACUUCCCUCCCUCGCCGGGGCUGAGCGUGGAUCCUCCAUCCGGAGUGGUGACCGAAGGGCUCCCCCUGAUCAUCACCUGCACGGCCCCCAGCAGUGCUGGCGAGCGGAGGUUUCACUUCUACAAGGAAGGAGCUGAGCUCGUCCCCGGAGAUGUGGGGUCUGAGGUCAGCACAACAGAGACCAGGACCGGCUCUAUGAUGCUCAGCAUCCCACAAGCUGGUCCCAGCUGCACCGGGGAAUUCACCUGUGCGUACGAGGAGAACACGAGCGGGAGGUGGAUUCUGUCCCUAAGAAGUUUGGCUGUGAAUGUUACCGUGACAGGCCACAGCCAUUACUGGGUUCGGGACCUUGCUGUGGGUGGGUCCUUCUUCACCAUUAAUGGCCUCAUCUUCCUCAUCUUCCACCUCUGCAUGAAGGGCAAAGGUUCCAAGGAGGAGCACACAGGCAGCUCAGACCCAUUUCAAUCAGAUUACUACUCAGUUCCGAUUCAGUUGGUCACUGGUCAGUCUGGUCAUUCUGCGACCGCCAAGGCAAACCACAUCUCCAGCCCCAUGCCCCAGUCCCGUGGGAAUGAGUACAUGGAAGAGAUCUGAAGGCUCAGAUAUUGACUGUGAAUAUUCCUCCCCUGCUCACAGAUGGCUGGCCAGCUCCACAGCUCAACUGGGUUCAGGGGAGAAUGUUCUGCUCCUGAAAUACUACAGACAAACUGUGUGUCACUUUCUCUGCUACAAAAUUGGGAGAAACCAGAUGGGUGUGUUUUGAAGAAAGAAAGAAAGAAAGAAAGAAAGAAAGAAAGAAAGAAAGAAAUUAUAUUCUCAUUUCUCCUCAGAUCUUCCUUCUCUGUGUAUAUUCAAAGCUGUAUGAAUCCAUGUAAAUUCCCCCCUCUACAGCUUUUAAUUAAACCUUUUUUUUUAGCCCCUU